AUCUAGAUACAUGCCAGUAUAGCAAUGCAGAGAUUUGGAAGGCCAGCCUGAAAAAUGACCCUCACAUAGCUGGCAGCUUACCCACAACUGAGCUGCUGUGAAGUGAUCACUGUCUAGAGACGUUCCUAAAGCUCAAGUCCAUGCUAGGAUUUGUCAAAAAGCAGAGUUAGGAAUUUUAUGAGUGUUCUCAUCACUGGUAUUUCUAGAAAGGGGAACUUUCCAAUUGACUGCUUUUGUAUUACAGCCUCCCUCCUUGGACCAUGUUGAAAGAAACAUUUAGAUGUACAAGUGUAUCUGUUACAGACUUCAAGUCUGCUUGUGAAUUUUUCUCCUAUUCAUUCUAGGAAGAAUUCUAAUUCUCAUUGUUCCCUUUAGAACCUUGGAAUGCCAUGAUUCCCAUAUUCAGUAUUUAUCUCUUGUGAAUGAUGGUUGCCUGCCCUGAGGUACUGAAACUCCAACUCUCUACCCAGAGUAGUCAUAGCUACUAUUCCCUGUGGCUGGAUGCCAGCUGUUUACCUGUACCAUCUCUGAGCCUCACAGUGACUCUGGAAGGUGGUUACCAGGAUCUUCUGAAACUGAGCUGGAGGAGUCAGGAAGCUGACCUGUUGGGCCACAUCAGGGAGCUCCCUGGUCUUCUGGAGCUCGAGGGGUCAAGAUGUCUCAACCCAGGCUGGAUGUGUGCUUCUAGUAGCCUGCUUUCAGGACGAACAGUGCUAACUGCUGUUCAUUCAGUCUUACCAUCACUAGCUGGCUUCACCAAGUCAAGCAUCUGACACAACAGAUCAUGGAAUGGCAAAGGCUCAAUGCCCAUGGCUUCCAUUCGUUCACACUGCUCUUCGUAGAAGUACUCCAGCUCAUACAUGGAAAGUACACCGUCUCCAUCCACAUCCAUGCAGCGGAACCAAUACUCAAUGCUAGGAGUUUCAUCUUGAAGUUCCUGUGUCUCUUGGCUCUCACAUUUCCCUGUCCUUUGACAUGUACAUUGUCUAGAAGUAUCCUCCAGAGGAGAGUCACGGCAGGUCAAGAAUCUGCUCCAUAGAAGAAUUUUAACUCCGACAGUGACAUGGUCAGAUGUGGUUUUCAAAAACAAAACAUCCCCUCCCAGAGGAAGGCUUCUUAAGAUUGGAGACCUGAAUGGAACUUAAAAGGCUCAAGCAUAACUUUCAAACUUCGGGAAGCUUUACACUCAGAAGAUUCACAGCUUCUUCCCCAAGGUGAUAACUGCUCCAGAGAAGAGAGGGCAACUUGUUAGGCGGAGACUCUACAACUCAUCCAGCUGCCUGGGAAUUCCACAAUGAAUUCCAGCCAUGCAUCUUCUGAGUCAAUGCCCAUGCUGAGCUUGGCUUUCAAUGAUGGUUCCUGCCUUGAGUUCCAGGUUCCUGCCCUUCCCACAGUGAUGGAGUGUGACCUGAGAGUUCUUUUGGCCUUAGGAUCAUCUUCCUUGAAACUCCUUUGUCAUGAAAGCUUAGUGGAGGAAGAAGUGAAUGUGCAGGCUGAAGUGCAAGGGAAGAAAGAUGAGGCAGAGGUCCAAGUAAACCAGCUUGUCUACCCACAAAGACUAAAGGAGCAGAAGUAAGGGAUGCUGAAGGCCGGGAUGCUGAUACAAAUUUUUGGACUGUGUGCUACUGUCAGUAUAAUUCUCAAUGGUCCUGGAACAUCACUGUCUGCUUACAGAGACCACCUGAGAGACUUGACUGCCUUCAUAAUAACAAAAGUGGCCCCACUGGCCCUCUGCCUUGAACCUAUGGCAUUCUAGACUAGUUCUGUUCUCACUUGUGGCCAAGUAUAACUCAUGUACAAUAAACCAUCUUUCUAGCUGUC